GACGAACGCUGGCGGCGUGCUUAACACAUGCAAGUCGAACGGAAAGGCCCCCACCUUGGUGGGGGUGCUCGAGUGGCGAACGGGUGAGUAACACGUGGGUGAUCUGCCCUGUACUUCGGGAUAAGCUUGGGAAACUGGGUCUAAUACCGGAUAGGACCAUGGUUUAGUGUCUCAUGGUGGAAAAAUUAUUGUUUUGGUGCAGGAUGAGCUCGCGGCCUAUUAGCUUGUUGGUGGGGUAAUGGCCUACCAAGGCGUCGACGGGUAGCCGGCCUGAGAGGGUGGACGGCCAAAGUGGGACUGAGAUACGGCCCAGACUCCUACGGGAGGCAGCAGUGGGGAAUAUUGCACAAUGGGCGCAAGCCUGAUGCAGCGACGCCGCGUGGGGGAUGACGGCCUUCGGGUUGUAAACUCCUUUCGUUAGGGACGAAGCCACACCUUUUUUGGGUGUGGUGACGGUACCUUUGUUAAGAAGCACCGGCUAACUACGUG
rnacentral:rRNA from 1 species